AGUGAACGCUGGCGGUAGGCCUAACACAUGCCAGUCGAACGGCAGCACAGUAAGAGCUUGCUCUUACGGGUGGCGAGUGGCGGACGGGUGAGGAAUACAUCGGAAUCUACUUUUUCGUGGGGGAUAACGUAGGGAAACUUACGCUAAUACCGCAUACGACCUACGGGUGAAAGCAGGGGAUCUUCGGACCUUGCGCGAUUGAAUGAGCCGAUGUCGGAUUAGCUAGUUGGCGGGGUAAAGGCCCACCAAGGCGACGAUCCGUAGCUGGUCUGAGAGGAUGAGCAGCCACACUGGAACUGAGACACGGUCCAGACUCCUACGGGAGGCAGCAGUGGGGAAUAUUGGACAAUGGGCGCAAGCCUGAUCCAGCCAUACCGCGUGGGUGAAGAAGGCAUUCGGGUUGUAAAGCCCUUUUGUUGGGAAAGAAAAGCAGCAGGUUAAUACCCCGCUGUUCUGACGGUACCCAAAGAAUAAGCACCGGCUAACUUCGUG
rnacentral:rRNA from 1 species